AUUGAACGCUGGCGGCAGGCCUAACACAUGCAAGUCGAACGGUAACAGGAAGAAGCUUGCUUCUUUGCUGACGAGUGGCGGACGGGUGAGUAAUGUCUGGGAAACUGCCUGAUGGAGGGGAUAACUACUGGAAACGGUAGCCUAAUACCGCAUAACGUCGCAAGACCCAAAGAGGGGGGACCCUUCUGGCCUCUUGCCAUCGGAUGUGCCCAGAUGGGAUUAGCUAGUAGGUGGGGUAACGGCUCACCUAGGCGACGAUCCCCUAGCUGGUCCUGAGAGGAUGACCAGCCACACUGGAACUGAGACACGGUCCAGACUCCUACGGGAGGCAGCAGUGGGGAAUAUUGCACAAUGGGCGCAAGCCUGAUGCAGCCAUGCCGCGUGUAUGAAGAAGGCCUUCGGGUUGUAAAGUACUUUCAGCGGGGAGGAAGGGAGUAAAGUUAAUACCUUUUGCUCAUUGACGUUACCCGCAGAAGAAGCACCGGCUAACUCCGUG
rnacentral:rRNA from 1 species